UACGUAGGUGACAAGCGUUGUCCGGAUUUAUUGGGCGUAAAGCGCGUGUAGGCGGCCACACAGGUCCGCUGUGAAAACUCGAGGCUCAACCUCGAGCUGUCGGUGGAAACCGUGUGGCUAGAGUCCGGAAGAGGAGACUGGAAUUCCCGGUGUAGCGGUGGAAUGCGCAGAUAUCGGGAGGAACACCCGUGGCGAAGGCGGGUCUCUGGGGCGGUACUGACGCUGAGACGCGAAAGCGUGGGGAGCAAACAGG
rnacentral:rRNA from 1 species